rnacentral:rRNA from 1 species
AGCAGCCGCGGUAAUUCCAGCUCCAAUAGCGUAUAUUAAAGUUGUUGCAGUUAAAAAGCUCGUAGUUGAAUUUCGGGAUUAGUACGUUGGUCGUGCCUUCGGUACGUACUGGUGUUACUGAUUCCUACCUUCUGACGAUCCAUCAUGUCAUUAAUUUGGUGUGGCGGGGAAUCAGGACUGUUACUUUGAAAAAAUUAGAGUGUUUAAAGCAGGCUCGCGCUUGAAUACAUUAGCAUGGAAUAAUGAAAUAGGACGUUGACCCUAUUUUGUUGGUUUCUAGGAUUGACGUAAUGAUUAAUAGGGAUAGUUGGGGGCAUUAGUAUUCAAUUGUCAGAGGUGAAAUUCUUGGAUUUAUUGAAGACUAACUACUGCGAAAGCAUUUGCCAAGGAUGUUUUCAUUAAUCAAGAACGAAAGUUAGGGGAUCGAAGACGAUCAGAUACCGUCGUAGUCUUAACCAUAAACUAUGCCGACUAGGGAUCGGAUGAUGUUAUUUUUAAUGACUCA